UACGUAGGGUGCGAGCGUUAAUCGGAAUUACUGGGCGUAAAGCGUGCGCAGGCGGUGAUGUAAGACAGAUGUGAAAUCCCAAGGCUUAACCUUGGAACUGCGUCGGAUACUGGAUGGCUUGAAUUCGGGAGAGGGAUGCAGAAUUCCAGGUGUAGCGGUGAAAUGCGUAGAUAUCUGGAGGAACACCCGUGGCGAAGGCGGUUCUCUGGGACGGUACUGACGCUGAGACGCGAAAGCGUGGGGAGCGAACAGG
rnacentral:rRNA from 1 species